UCCAGCGGCGAUAGCACGUUGGAUGCACCACUUCCCACUGGAUCACUGAAGUUAAGAAAUGUUGCGCGUGGUUGGUAUCCGGAUGGGUGACCGUCUGGGCAAUCUUGAGCUGCUGGAU
rfam:Asian citrus Psyllid, Diaphorina citri - Florida Strain, whole genome shotgun sequence.